GUGCUCACUUGGGCAGCACAUAUACUAGAAUUGGAACCAUACAGAGAUUAGCCUCACCCCUGUGCAAGGAUGACAUACAAAUUUGUGAAGUGUUGCAUAUUUUU